rnacentral:rRNA from 1 species
UAUCUAAUCCGUAAACGAUGGUUACUAGCUGUUCGGACUUCGGUCUGAGUGGCUAAGCGAAAGUGAUAAGUAACCCACCUGGGGAGUACGUUCGCAAGAAUGAAACUCAAAGGAAUUGACGGGGGCCCGCACAAGCGGUGGAGCAUGUGGUUUAAUUCGAUGAUACGCGAGGAACCUUACCAGGGCUUAAAUGUAGAUUGACAGGUUUAGAGAUAGACUUUUCUUCGGACAAUUUACAAGGUGCUGCAUGGUUGUCGUCAGCUCGUGCCGUGAGGUGUCAGGUUAAGUCCUAUAACGAGCGCAACCCCUGUUGUUAGUUGCCAGCGAGUCAAGUCGGGAACUCUAACAAGACUGCCAGUGCAAACUGCGAGGAAGGUGGGGAUGACGUCAAAUCAUCACGGCCCUUACGUCCUGGGCCACACACGUGCUACAAUGGUAGGGACAGAGAGCAGCCACAAUGCGAAUUGGAGCGAAUCUAUAAACCCUAUCUCAGUUCGGAUCGGAGU